AACGCGAAGAACCUUACCAAGCCUUGACAUCCGGCUGGCCGGUGAGUAAUGUCACCUUUCCUACGGGACAGCCAGGACAGGUGGUGCAUGGUUGUCGUCAGCUCGUGUCGUGAGAUGUUGGGUUAAGUCCCGCAACGAGCGCAACCCUUAUCCCCAGUAGCCAGCACGUAACGGUGGGCACUCUGUGGAGACUGCCAGGGACGACCUGGAGGAAGGCGGGGAUGACGUCAAAUCAUCAUGCCCCUUAUGGCUUGGGCUACACACGUGCUACAAUGGCGUAAACAAAGGGAGGCGAAGGGGUGACCUGGAGCAAAUCCCAAAAAUAACGUCCCAGUUCGGAUUGUAGUCUGCAACCCGACUACAUGAAGCCGGAAUCGCUAGUAAUCGCGGAUCAGCAUGUCGCGGUGAAUACGUUCCCGGGUCUUGUACACACCG
rnacentral:rRNA from 1 species